AGACGUCUACAUUAGAUACCCGCGUAGUCCCAGCCGUAAACUAUGCGCGUUAGGUGUAUCGGUGACCACGAGUCACCGAGGUGCCGAAGGGAAACCGUGAAACGUGCCGCCUGGGAAGUACGGUCGCAAGGCUGAAACUUAAAGGAAUUGGCGGGGAGCACAACAACGGGUGGAGCCUGCGGUUUAAUUGGACUCAACGCCGGGAAGCUCACCGGAUAGGACAGCAGAAUGAUUGCCGGGCUGAAGACCCUGCAUGACUAGCUG
rnacentral:rRNA from 1 species